UCCCAACCCCUGUGAACAUACCUAUCGUUGCUUCGGCGGAUCCGCCCCGGCGCCCUCGGGCCCGGAUCAGGCGCCCGCCGGAGACCCAAACUCUUGUAUUUCUUUAGUAUCUUCUGAGUAAACAAGCAAAUAAAUUAAAACUUUCAACAACGGAUCUCUUGGUUCUGGCAUCGAUGAAGAACGCAGCGAAAUGCGAUAAGUAAUGUGAAUUGCAGAAUUCCGGGAAUCAUCGAAUCUUUGAACGCACAUUGCGCCCGCCAGUAUUCUGGCGGGCAUGCCUGUUCGAGCGUCAUUUCAACCCUCAAGCCCCCGGGCUUGGUGUUGGGGCUCGGCCCGUCCCUCGUGGCGCGCCGUCCCCGAAAUCUAGUGGCGGUCACGCUGUACUCCUCUGCGUAGUAAUCUAACCUCGCAACGGGACAAAGCCUGGCCACGCCGUUAAACCCCCCACUUCUGAAGGUUGACCUCGGAUCAGGUAGGAAUACCCGCUAACUUAAGCAUAUCAAAAUUGGGAGGA
rnacentral:rRNA from 1 species